CGGACGGGUGAGUAACGCGUGAGGAACCUGCCUCAAAGAGGGGGACAACAGUUGGAAACGACUGCUAAUACCGCAUAAGCCCACGGCUCGGCAUCGAGCAGAGGGAAAAGGAGCAAUCCGCUUUGAGAUGGCCUCGCGUCCGAUUAGCUAGUUGGUGAGGUAACGGCCCACCAAGGCGACGAUCGGUAGCCGGACUGGGAGGUUGAACGGCCACAUUGGGACUGAGACACGGCCCAG
rnacentral:rRNA from 1 species